GAUAUCUUGGUUCUGCCUUUAUCCUGGGAGGAUUUAUGGCUUGUGCUUAGCCUGCACCUGGGAUGUUGGGUGAAGCACAGCACUCGAAUUUCCCACCAUGACCCCUGUUCUGUGAUGCUCAGGAAAACUCCAAGCCCUUCUGAUCACCUACUGUGCUGUGCUACCACUUGGUGCUUUCUUCUGCAGGUGGUUGACUCCAAAUCAAUCCACAAUCCAAAGCCCUUGGAGUUACUGCAGAUGGUCAGUCCUCCUGGAGGACUUGGAAAUUUGGGAGAAAUUGCACAUGCAGUGAAGAUGGCGUGGGAUGGAGUUGCAAUGAUGGGGUGCUUUCCCAGUCUCACCCCAUGCAAUCCAGUCAUCAGAACAGCCUGAAACCUCCCAUAGCCAUCCCGUGGGGGCACAGCUUGCACGACGUGUCCACGGCUCUGCGGCAUUGGAUGAUUACACAGAGUGAGGGUACCCAUCUGGCAUCUCUGUCUCCUGUGAAAUGAGGGAGAGAAAUGAAACCCUUCAAACACAGAACUGCCUGACACCAUCACAACAGAGCUGACAGCCGUCCGUUGCCUCAGAUCUGCUCGUUUGUGUCCUGACGUGAAUGCAGCAUAUGGUCCCCAUCCAUCUUCCUAACAGUCCAGCUCCGAGCUGUCUGCCUCGCCAGAGCAUAGAAUCACAGAAUGACAGAAUGGCCUGGAUUGCAAAGGAGCACAGUGCUCACCCAGUUCCAACCCCCUGCUGUGUGCAGGUCGCCAACCAGCAGCCCAGGCUGCCCAGAGCCACAUCCAGCCUGGCCUUGAGUGCCUCCUUGCCUUUCUCCUCCAGAUGGUGAACUGAGACAAGAUAUCAGCACAGGAUGAGCCCCAGCUUGGUCUCUUGCAUUUAAGAGCAGAGGUGGUGCAUACACAGAGGUAUCUUUCUAGCAAGAUUUGGAUAGAGAGAUGUCAUCCACCCAUUGGUUUCCAGUGCAGGGCAAUGAAUAUCUCAGGAGCUCCUCUCAACCCCUUUUUCACGUGUUAUUUCUCCAUCUGUUUGCACCUCUUUUUUUAUCAAUAGCUCUCCCUGCUCAUCCCAGGAUGGAUAUUAAAAAAAAAAAAUUUUGUCUCCGAAAGGGUGGUGAUUAUUGACACAGUGGGGGAAUCAUCAUCCCUGGGCGUGUUCCAGAACCAUAGGGAUGUGUCCCUGUGUUUAGUGGGCAUGGUGGGAUGGGUUGGGGUUGUAUGUGGUGGUCUUG
rnacentral:lncRNA from 1 species